rnacentral:misc_RNA from 1 species
GAUGAAGAACGUAGCGAAAUGCGAUAAGUAAUGUGAAUUGCAGAAUUCAGUGAAUCAUCGAAUCUUUGAACGCACAUUGCGCCCGCCAGCAUUCUCGCGGGCAUGCCUGUUCGAGCGUCAUUUCAACCCUCGACUUCCCUUUGGGGAAGUCGGCGUUGGGGACCGGCCGUAUACCGCCGGCCCCGAAAUGAAGUGGCGGCCCGUCCGCGGCGACCUCUGCGUAGUAAUCCAACUCGCACCGGAACCCCGACGUGGCCACGCCGUAAAACCCCCGACUUCUGAACGUUGACCUCGGAUCAGGUAGGAAUACCCGCUGAACUUAAGCAUAUCAAUAAGCGGAGGA